rnacentral:rRNA from 1 species
AGCCUGAUGCAGCGACGCCGCGUGAGGGAUGAAGGCCUUCGGGUUGUAAACCUCUUUCAGUAGGGAAGAAGCCGGUCUUUUGGGUUGGUGACGGUACCUGCAGAAGAAGCGCCGGCUAACUACGUGCCAGCAGCCGCGGUAAUACGUAGGGCGCAAGCGUUAUCCGGAAUUAUUGGGCGUAAAGAGCUCGUAGGCGGUUUGUCGCGUCUGCCGUGAAAGUCCGGGGCUUAACUCCGGAUCUGCGGUGGGUACGGGCAGACUAGAGUGCAGUAGGGGAGACUGGAAUUCCUGGUGUAGCGGUGAAAUGCGCAGAUAUCAGGAGGAACACCGAUGGCGAAGGCAGGUCUCUGGGCUGUAACUGACGCUGAGGAGCGAAAGCAUGGGGAGCGAACAGGAUUAGAUACCCUGGUAGUCCAUGCCGUAAACGUUGGGCACUAGGUGUGGGGGACAUUCCACGUUUUCCGCGCCGUAGCUAACGCAUUAAGUGCCCCGCCUGGGGAGUACGGCCGCAAGGCUAAAACUCAAAGGAAUUGACGGGGGCCCGCACAAGCGGCGGAGCAUGCGGAUUAAUUCGAUGCAACGCGAAGAACCUUACCAAGGCUUGACAUGAACCGGAAUGAUGCAGAGAUGUGUCAGCCACUUGUGGCCGGUUUACAGGUGGUGCAUGGUUGUCGUCAGCUCGUGUCGUGAGAUGUUGGGU